UUUGGCAUUUGGCUUGCGCGCCAUGAUGCCGUUACCCACCGCAUGUAAAAGGUGCGUUUUACCUAAACCCGUGCCGCCAUA
rfam:Beauveria bassiana D1-5 contig00076, whole genome shotgun sequence.